GUUAAAAGGUGGGGUUUAGGAUUUAGGGUUUAGGGUUUAGGGUUUAGAGUUUAGGGUUUAGAUUUUAGGGUUUAGGGUUUAGAUUUUAGGGUUUAGGGUUUAUAGUUUAGGGUUUAGGGUUUAGAGUUUAGGGUUUAGGGUUUAUGGUUUAGGGUUUAGGGUUUAGAGUUUAGGGUUUAGAGUUUAGGGUUUAGGGUUUAGAGUUGAGAAUAGAGGUUUUGGGGAUAAGAUUUCAAAUUUUGAAAAAUAAAAAAAAUUAAAAUUUUCAAAGUAUAAACUUAGAAAGAUGCUAUUUUGUUCAUUUUAGUUUUUGAGUGCUAUUUUUGUGAUAUAAACUUAGAAUGGUGAUAUUUUGGAGAUUUGCCCAUUAGCAAUUUACCGGUGUCCUAAUUUAUUUUUGUAUUAUUUUCUCAGCCGCUUUGGUAACUAGCUAGGUCUUAAAAAAUAACCUUCAACACCUC
rnacentral:lncRNA from 1 species